rnacentral:rRNA from 1 species
UUGAACGCUGGCGGCAGGCCCAACACAUGCAAGUCGAACGGUAACAGGAAGCAGCUUGCUGCUUUGCUGACGAGUGGCGGACGGGUGAGUAAUGUCUGGGAAACUGCCUGAUGGAGGGGGAUAACUACUGGAAACGGUAGCUAAUACCGCAUAACGUCGCAAGACCAAAGAGGGGGACCUUAGGGCCUCUUGCCAUCGGAUGUGCCCAGAUGGGAUUAGCUAGUAGGUGGGGUAACGGCUCACCUAGGCGACGAUCCCUAGCUGGUCUGAGAGGAUGACCACGCCCCGCGGGAACGGAAGCACGGUCCAGACCCCAAGGGGGGGGAGGAGUGGGGAAUUUUGCCAAAGGGGCGAAAGCCUGAUGAAGCCAUGCCGGGUGUAUGAAAAAGGCCUUGGGGUUGUAAAGUACUUUCGGGGGGGAGGAAGGGAGUAAAGUUAAUACCUUUUCUCAUUGACGUUACCCGCAAAAGAAGCCCCGGCAAACUCCGG